rnacentral:rRNA from 1 species
CGAGUCAUUGUAGCAUACAAGGCAUACGGCUCAGUAACGCGUAGUCCACCUAACCUAUGGACGGGAAUAACCUCGGGAAACUGAGAAUAAUGCCCGAUAGAACAUUAUGCCUGGAAUGGUUUAUGUUCCAAAUGAUUUAUCGCCGUAGGAUGGGACUGCGGCCUAUCAGUUUGUUGGUGAGGUAAUGGCCCACCAAGACUAUUACAGGUACGGGCUCUGAGAGGAGUAGCCCGGAGAUGGGUACUGAGACACGGACCCAGGCCCUAUGGGGCGCAGCAGGCGAGAAAACUUUGCAAUGUGCGAAAGCACGACAAGGUUAAUCCGAGUGGUUUCUGCUAAAGAAACCUUUUGUCAGUCCUAGAAACACUGAUGAAUAAGGGGUGGGCAAGUUCUGGUGUCAGCCGCCGCGGUAAAACCAGCACCUCAAGUGGUCAGGAUGAUUAUUGGGCCUAAAGCAUCCGUAGCCGGCUCUGUAAGUUUUCGGUUAAAUCUGUACGCUCAACGUACAGGCUGCCGGGAAUACUGCAGAGCUAGGGAGUGGGAGAGGUAGACGGUACUCGGUAGGAAGGGGUAAAAUCCUUUGAUCUAUUGAUGACCACCUGUGGCGAAGGCGGUCUACCAGAACACGUCCGACGGUGAGGGAUGAAAGCUGGGGGAGCAAACCGGAUUAGAUACCCGGGUAGUCCCAGCUGUAAACUAUGCAAACUCAGUGAUGCAUUGGCUUGUGGCCAAUGCAGUGCUGCAGGGAAGCCGUUAAGUUUGCCGCCUGGGAAGUACGUACGCAAGUAUGAAACUCAAAUGAAUUGACGG